CUCCCUUCCCCCUUUCACAAAGACAACACAACAUAAAGCAGGCCCACACUCGCGGAAGCUUGAACUGGAUCAGAAACAGAACAACCCAAUUGAAGGGGGAAAGCUACAAAGUAAAGAAAUAUGAGGAGAGCACAUCCAUAUUUUUGUAUGAUCAUUGGUGACUGGAUUGUAUUUCUGGAGCUCACACUUGGUGCCCUUCUUGUGUCUUCCUCCCUCUUCUUCCCUUCUUGAGGGGAGUGACGACAUGACUAUUUUGAUCCAUUUUCCUUUUUUAUAAGGGACAUGUUGAAAAUUCAAUCAAUAAAAGGCCCGGAUGCCUUUUCAACGGACCAGGCGGGUCGCAGCCAAGAGAGCAACGUGGCCAGCCAGCCAGCCAGCCCCGUGGGCGCAAAGCCCCGCCUCCAGCGGAGUCGGCCUCAAAUGGACAUCAACUAUUGAUGGAGACAAACGCGACAUCCACACGCUCACUCACGUGAAAGGCGGCCAGAGCGCCAGCCUUUGAAAGCAUCCGGCUUUCACACAACUUUUGACCACCGCCGUCAGCGACAAGCCCGGCCGGCGCCAGGCAAAUUCACACAACGGCCCGCCCGCCAGCCACAUUGUGACUUUGAGGCUCCAGGCCGCCGAUGGGUCCGUUUGACGGCCGGCCGGCCGGCCGGCCGCUCGCUCGGUUUACCCCAUUUGAGCCUUUGGGGCAUUCCAAACGAAGCAAGCUCUCCCUGAUGCCCUUCCGACUGCCGCGAGUUAUAGGGUUAGCGCCACUGGGAUGCGGCCGACAACAAUUUGGUGGCUUGCUGUGAUUGUGACACGUGAGGCCCCCCCCCCCCCCGAGGGCCCAAAGCGGAAAGAAGGACUUUUCUUUUAGCCAUUUCUGUCGUGGCAUCUCGUGAUGGACGAAAGGCCUCGGCCGUGAUGUCGUCGCCCAGUUAGGGAAAGCCGAGGAGCGAAGAAAAGGCCUCCCUCGUCGGUGUUGGAAAAAA